GUGAGUACCGCAUACUAAGUAACAAUAGUCUUUAGAUGGCCUACACCCAAAUCCACAAGGUACAUCUGCGGGUUCUUAGGCUUGACUAGUUAUUAUUGGUGCUUCAUAUCCGACUAUGGCACUCUGGCCCGUCCUCUUACAAAUAUGAUCAAGAAAGAAGCCCAACUUUCUUUUACUUUGAUUACCCAAGCCCAGGAUGCCUUUUAUUUCUCCAACAAGCUUUGGUCUCAGUUCUCACACUGCCUAAUUUUUCCAAUAGAUUUGUCGAGUCAAACACCUCCAAGCAAGGCAUUAAAGUCGUCCUCACCCAAGAUAAGAUAAAAAA
rnacentral:misc_RNA from 1 species